rnacentral:rRNA from 1 species
UACAGAGGUCCCAAGCGUUGUUCGGAUUCAUUGGGCGUAAAGGGUGCGUAGGUGGCGGGGUAAGUCGGAUGUGAAAUCUCGGGGCUCAACCUCGAAACUGCAUUCGAUACUGCCUUGCUAGAGUACUGGAGAGGAGAUCGGAAUUUACGGUGUAGCAGUGAAAUGCGUAGAUAUCGUGAGGAACACCAGAGGCGAAGGCGGUUACCUGGACAGUUACUGACGCUCAGGCACGAAAGCAUGGGGAGCAAAAGGG